rnacentral:ncRNA from 1 species
CUAAGGGGUGUACGUUCGCUUGAACGUGCUGAGAAUAUACCCUCCGAACCUGCACCGGGCAAUGCCGGCGAAGGGAAGCU